rnacentral:rRNA from 1 species
CUUGGGACCGGGAGAGGUGUGGGGUACGCUCAGGGUAGGGGUAAAAUCCUGUCAUCCUGAGCGGACCCACCUGUUGCGAAGGCGCCACACUAGAACGGAUCCGACGGUCAGGGACGAAGCCUAGGGGCACGAACCGGAUUAGAUACCCCGGGUAGUCCUAGGUGUAAACGCUGUGGACUUGGUGUUGGGGACUCUCCGAGAUUCCUCAGCGCCGAAGCGAAGGUGAUAAGUCCACUGCCUGGGGAGUACGGUCGCAAGGCUGAAACUUAAAGGAAUUGGCGGGGGAGCACCGCAACCUGAGGAUUGUGCGGUUUAAUUGGAUUCAACGCCGGAAAACUCACCAGUGCCGACGGACAAAUGAAAGCCAGUGUGAUGAGCUUGCUGGAUUGUUCGAGAGGUAGUGCAUGGCCGCCGUCAGUUCGUACCGUAAGGCGUUCUGUUAAGUCAGAUAACGAACGAGACCCUCAUCCCUAUUUGCUAAGGUCAGUCCGCUGAUCACAGGACUAUAGGGAGACCGCUGGCGCGAAGUCAGAGGAAGGCGAGGGCAACGGUAGGUCAGUAUGCUCCGAAUGCACUGGGCUACACGCGCAAUACAAAGGACGGGACAAUGGGCCGCUGCGCCGAGAGGCAUGUGGCUAUCCCGAAACCCGUUCGUAGUUCGGAUUGAGGGCUGUAACUCGCCCUCAUGAAGCUGGAUUAGGUAGUAAUCGCGUCUCAAAAAGGCGCGGUGAAUAUGCCCCUGCUCCUUGCACACACCGCCCGU